rnacentral:tRNA from 1 species
UUAGUACAAUGAAAAUGAUAUAUCGGUAAUGGCCGGGAUAGCUCAGUUGGUAAAGCAAAGGACUGAAAAUCCUCGUGUCACCAGUUCAAAU